ensembl:lncRNA
CUGCCUUGAAAAUACCUGACAUCGCUAAGUAUGGAGACGAUGCAGCUUUGGAAUGCAGGCAGAAUUUGAGCAGUGGAAGCACUGAGGUCUUAGUUCUGGCACACAGGAUCUAGUCCCCUGACCAGGGAUUGAACCCUGGCCCUUUGCAUUGGGAGCUCGGAGUCUUAGCCACUGGACUACCAGCACUAAAGAUUUGGAACCUUGCAACGACUGGAGCGGACAGUGAACAGGAUCACUCUGACCCCAAAUCAUCUAGCCCUUUGCAGCAGGUCCUGUACUUUGUUGAGCCCUGAAUUUCAAAAAGUCAUUCAUCGCAAAUAGAAACACUGCUUCUACAGGUUCAACAGCAUGGCCAUGGCAACUGAGUCUGGAUUUCAAUCCUGGGCACCAUUAUUAGGCUUGAGGAGAGUCAUCCUCAAUUGUAAGCCUGUCCUCAGGGACACUCGAGUCGAUCUCAUGGAUCAAUUGCAUUGAAAGGAAGAAAGUAACUGCAAAGGGAGAGGAGGUGAAUGCUGUCUUUCCCACUUGAAAGAGACGUUGAGGAAUCAGGCAGCUUAUUGUGAAGGGCAUUGUAAAGUG